GACCGAUAUGUAAAUAAUGAAAAGUGGCUAACAGAACAGGAAACCAUGGCCAAAACAAGCACUUUUUGCCUGUUCUGACACACACCUGCUCGAACAAAAACCUUGCAGGACUGUGGCUCUCCAGGACAGACCUUCAAAACCAUAUUAGAGAGCAAAAAAAAAAGAAAAGAAAAGAAA